rnacentral:ncRNA from 1 species
AUGCGGUAACGCAAACGAACCCGAAGACGCUUGCGGGGGCCCUGGGAAGAGUUCUCUUUUCUUUUUAACGAGCUUCCACCCUGAAAUCAGCUUGCCUGGAGAUAGGGUUUAAUGCUCGGUAAAGCACCACACUUC